GAUGAACGCUGGCGGCGUGCCUAAUACAUGCAAGUCGAGCGAACAGACGAGGAGCUUGCUCCUCUGACGUUAGCGGCGGACGGGUGAGUAACACGUGGAUAACCUACCUAUAAGACUGGGAUAACUUCGGGAAACCGGAGCUAAUACCGGAUAAUAUAUUGAACCGCAUGGUUCAAUAGUGAAAGACGGUUUUGCUGUCACUUAUAGAUGGAUCCGCGCCGCAUUAGCUAGUUGGUAAGGUAACGGCUUACCAAGGCAACGAUGCGUAGCCGACCUGAUAGGGUGAACGGCCACACUGGAACUGAGACACGGUCCAGACUCCUACGGGAGGCAGCAGUAGGGAAUCUUGCGCAAUGGGCGAAAGCCUGACGGAGCAACGCCGCGUGAGUGAUGAAGGUCUUCGGAUCGUAAAACUCUGUUAUUAGGGAAGAACAAAUGUGUAAGUAUCUAUGCACGUCUUGACGGUACCUAAUCAGAAAGCCACGGCUAACUACGUG
rnacentral:rRNA from 1 species